rnacentral:rRNA from 1 species
GAUGAACGCUGGCGGCGUGCUUAACACAUGCAAGUCGAACGGAGAAAGGGUAGCUUGCUAUCUUUUCUUAGUGGCGGACGGGUGAGUAACGCGUGGGUAACCUGCCCUUUGCAGGGGGAUAACAGUGAGAAAUCACUGCUAAUACCGCAUACCAACUUCUUUCGCAUGAAGGAAGUUUGAAAGAUUUAUCGGCAAAGGAUGGACCCGCGUUGGAUUAGCUAGUUGGUGAGAUAACAGCCCACCAAGGCAACGAUCCAUAGCCGGCCUGAGAGGGUGAACGGCCACACCUGGGACUGAGACACGGCCCAGACUCCUACGGGAGGCAGCAGUGGGGAAUAUUGCACAAUGGGCGAAAGGCCUGAUGCAGCGACGCCGCGUGAAGGAUGAAGGUCUUCGGAUUGUAAACUUCUAUCAGCAGGGAAGAAAGGGCCUAUGGCCUAUGACGGUACCUGACUAAGAAGCCCCGGCUAACUACGUGCCAGCAGCCGCGGUAAACAUA